AUUGAACGCUGGCGGCAGGCUUAACACAUGCAAGUCGAGCGGAGAUGAGGUGCUUGCACCUUAUCUUAGCGGCGGACGGGUGAGUAAUGCUUAGGAAUCUGCCUAUUAGUGGGGGACAACAUUCCGAAAGGAAUGCUAAUACCGCAUACGUCCUACGGGAGAAAGCAGGGGAUCUUCGGACCUUGCGCUAAUAGAUGAGCCUAAGUCGGAUUAGCUAGUUGGUGGGGUAAAGGCCUACCAAGGUGACGAUCUGUAGCGGGUCUGAGAGGAUGAUCCGCCACACUGGGACUGAGAACCGGCCCAGACUCCUACGGGAGGCAGCAGUGGGGAAUAUUGGACAAUGGGGGGGACCCUGAUCCAGCCAUGCCGCGUGUGUGAAGAAGGCCUUAUGGUUGUAAAGCACUUUAAGCGAGGAGGAGGCUACUGAGACUAAUACUCUUGGAUAGUGGACGUUACUCGCAGAAUAAGCACCGGCUAACUCUGUGCCAGCCGCCGCAGUAACAC
rnacentral:rRNA from 1 species